rnacentral:lncRNA from 1 species
GCUAGAGAUGUUGCUCCACCAUAUGCCUGCUUCUUCAGAGGGAGACUCUUCCCAACUUAGUCACUCUUCCUAAGUGGGAAGAGGACUUUCCCUCCACUCCUCAAGGCCUAAAUAAUCAUCAAGUCCAGAGAGAAGGAAAUAAUCCCCACUCACCUGCAUGCUAAGGUGUCCUGGUAGUAAGGCCCGCAUCUGAAACCUGUGACUGCCACAAAGGCCUGUCUAAGAAGUCUACCUUCUAGGCACCUUCUGACUCUAGUGCUUCAGGGCACCUUCCCUGCCAUAACCACCACUGGAAGGAUUCUCAGCCCAACUGAAUUUAAAGAGUUUACCUGGCAUUCUAAAU